rnacentral:lncRNA from 1 species
AUGCAUGCUUGUGUGUUCACAAGAGAAGAGCAUUUCUUUUGGCCGGUUGUAGGCAAACAUUACUUAUACCAUGUUUUGGCGUGCAGUAAUUGUUGGCCCCAGGCUUGGAGCAGGAGCUUGGGUAAUCACGGGAGAUGCGAAGCAGCGAGUGCGACAGUGCCAACGAAGUGCUUAAUCCAUGCAGGCUGGGAGAAGCAGAAGGAGAUGUUGCUCAUCCAGUUCCACCUUGUUCGUUUCAUGUCCCGUGCUGUUGCCCAGCUGGGAUCCUUGAGGACAAACACAUCACUGUGUCCUGGCCCCUCCCCAGGGCUGUGCAUGCACUGGCCAGUGAAGCAAGAGGUGAGUAAAUACCUGACGGCGUGAAGGGAUCAAUGAGAUCUGAGAUCACUUGUAACCCAGCUCUCUGUGAUUUAAAGGCAACAGGAUACCUGUUCUGAAGCAAGGUUAACACGAAUCCAUUUUAGAAGUAGGAUGCUUUUUACAAGGUUGAGACCUGUGCCAAUCUAAACCUAAGCUAUUUUGGCUGUAUUAUUCUUGUUUCUUUAAAAAAGAAAUCCAUUCAAAUGUAGGUGCCAUGUAGUAGAAAAAGUGCUGCCUGGGGAGGGUUAAUUUUAACAUCUGUUUUGUUUCUAAUCUCUGGUGUAACUUUAGUCAAGUCCCCUUUUUUGAGUCCAAUUUCUUCAACCCGAAGGUAAUAAGAUCUGUUCCACAGGGUUGUUGGGAGGGGUUAAAAUGUGAUAAUGGAUAUGAAAGUGCUUUGCAACUGAAAAGAACUCCACCUAUAAAAGGGGUUUUUAAUAUCAUUAUCAUUAUUGUUAUUUUAGAAGUCAUUUCCAUGGAAUGCAAAUGCAGUCUCUGGAGCUCCUUUGAGCCUCUAAGUGUACAGAUUGUAUUUAGAAGUUUAUAUCCUGCCCAAUAUGGGAUUGAACAACAGCCAACUAAUGCUAAUAGCCCUUAGUUACAGAAUGCCUGCCCUCUGAGCUCAAGAGCUGUGAAAAGCUGGAGCCAUCAUUCCUCAGUCAAUUUCCAUUGUCAUUCAUUCAACAAAUGUUUUCUGUAUGUCUGCUGUGUGUCAGGCACUACUUUUGACAGUGGGUGGGUGGCUGAUACUGUUGAUGUCUUAUUACAUUGGAGGAGAUUGCAGAUCCAUAGAAGACAAGGGACUUCUACAAGCCAUGUGCAAGAUAGGGUGGGGCCCCUGGGGUGCAGCUCAGAGAUUAGGGUAGGGUAGUGCCAACAUCAUGCAAAGAAGAAUUGUCUCGGGAACUGAAGCUGGGCACUCCUGGUUUGAGUCACGUCUUCAUCUACAGCAAAGUGUGCCUUUGCCUUAUUUGCCCAUAAUGAGAAAUGAUGUCAGUGGCUAAAGGCACACUGUCCCAGAGCUGCCUCCUGCAGAGCCCUGCUCGGGCUGAGACACAUUUCACACAGUUGCAGUUUCACUUUUAUCCUCCAGAGAGAACAGGCUCUUUCUUCCAAGUGGAGGGUUUUUAAGUUGCAGGGAUAAAAGCUCCCCUUUCAUGUGUGAACGAGUCAGCAAGGAUGUGGUAAUCCAGCCCAAGGUGCUACAGAGGAGCAUGAAGCAUGUUUCUCCUUUUCAGCCUUGUCCCCUCUCAAAGACAUUUCCUACCAAGGGUUCUGAGUGAGCUUCCACAGCUUUAGCCAGAACGGGGAAAUUACAUCGAUCAUCGGUACCGUUUUCAGUGGCAUGGUUGGUACAGUGAAUUCAACGCAUUGGCGGAGAGAUUAUGGACCUAGAGAAAGACAGAGAGAUGAUGAGACCUUCUCCUUCCAAAAGGUCACUGUGGGGCAAUUAAGGACAUAUAAAAUUAAUCAUGGAGUUCCUGUCGUGGCACAGUGGUUAAUAAAUCUGACUGGGAACCAUGAGGUUGCGGGUUC